rnacentral:rRNA from 1 species
UACGAAGGGUGCAAGCGUUACUCGGAAUCACUGGGCGUAAAGCGUGCGUAGGCGGUUGGUUAAGUCUGCUGUGAAAGCCCUGGGCUCAACCUGGGAACUGCAGUGGAUACUGGCUAGCUAGAGUGUGAUAGAGGAUGGUGGAAUUCCCGGUGUAGCGGUGAAAUGCGUAGAGAUCGGGAGGAACACCAGUGGCGAAGGCGGCCAUCUGGAUCAACACUGACGCUGAGGCACGAAAGCGUGGGGAGCAAAC